AAAUUAAUAUUUAUUUAUUAAUAAUUUAAGUAUUUAAUAUAUUUUAAAUAAUAAAAAUAAUUUUAUAGUUUAAUUUUUUUUUAGUAUAUUUAUAAAGAAAAAAUAAUUUUAAUAAUAGUUUAUUAGUAUUGUAAAAGAAAAUUGAAAUAAUUUGAAAAAUUUUUAUUUUAAAAGAAAAAUUAAUUUUUUGUACCUUGUGUAUCAGGGUUUAUUAAUUAAAUAAUAAGUAUUUAUUUUUCUCGAUUUUAAGAGAUUUAAUAGUUUAAUUUAGUUACUGUAGCAUAAGUAUUAAUAAUAAAUUAUUAGAAAUGAAACGUUAUUCGUUCUUAAAUAUAUCUAGUUUUCUAAGAAAUAAGUUAAAUUUACAUAUUUUAAAUUAUUUAUUUAUUUUUAUAAAUAAAUAAGUUUUUUAUAUGAAUAUUUUAAGGGAUGAGCUUUAAAAUAAAUUUUUAUAAUUUUUAAAUUUUAAUUAAAAAAUGUAAGCUUAUAAAUAGCUACCAUUAAUAAUUAUGUUAUAAUUUAUUUUUAAUAAAUUAAUAUUUAGUAAAAAUUUAAAUUUUUUAUUAGAAUAUUUACUUAAAUAAAAAAAGUAAAGAAAUUAUGAUAAAAUUAGUAAAUAAAAAUGUUAAAAAAAUUUAAACCUGAUAGGUUUUUAUAAUGAAUUCGGCAAAUUUUUAUACUCACCUGUUUAUCAAAAACAUGUCUUUUUAGAAAUAAAUAAAAAGUCUAACCUGCCCACUGAAAAUAAUUGAAGGGCCGCGGUAUUUUGACCGUGCAAAGGUAGCAUAAUCAUUAGUCUUUUAAUUGGAGGCUCGUAUGAAUGGUUGAAUGAAGUAUAAGCUGUAUCAUAAAAAUUUAAAAUUGAAUUUUAUUUUUUAGUUAAAACGCUAAAAUAAAAUUAAAAGACGAGAAGACCCUAUAAAGCUUUACAAUUAUAAUUUAUUAUUUAUGAAGAAUUAUUUAAAUUUUAUUUUGAUAAUUGUUUUGUUGGGGUGACAAUAAGAUUUAAAAAACUCUUAAACUUUUUAUACAUUAAUUUAUGAUUUAUUGAUCCGAUUUUAUCGAUUAAAAAUUUAAGUUACUUUAGGGAUAACAGCGUAAUUUUUUUAGAGAGUUCAUAUCGAUAAAAAAGAUUGCGACCUCGAUGUUGGACUAAGAAUUAUUUUAGGUGUAGAAGUUUAAAAUUUAGGUCUGUUCGACCUUUUAAUUCUUACAUGAUCUGAGUUCAGACCGGCGUGAGCCAGGUUGGUUUCUAUCUUUAAUUAAAUAAAAAUAUUUUAGUACGAAAGGACCAAAUAUUUAAAAUAACAAUUUUUAAAACAAGAAUUAAAUUAAAAUAAAUAAAAAUAUUAAAAUAAAAUAAAUAAAUGAAUA
rnacentral:rRNA from 1 species